rnacentral:rRNA from 1 species
UACGUAGGGUGCGAGCGUUAAUCGGAAUUACUGGGCGUAAAGCGUGCGCAGGCGGUUUUGUAAGCCAGAUGUGAAAGCCCUGGGCUUAACCUGGGAAUGGCAUUUGGGACUGCAAGGCUUGAGUGCGGCAGAGGAGACUGGAAUUCCCGGUGUAGCAGUGAAAUGCGUAGAUAUCGGGAGGAAUACCGAUGGCGAAGGCAGGUCUCUGGGCUGACACUGACGCUCAUGCACGAAAGCGUGGGGAGCAAACAGG